UCUGCUGUUUACUUUAUUUUUUACCCCUCUGUCCUAGGACAGUGCAUGUGUCCCAGUUUGAAUGAAGCGUCUUUAUGUUUGCUUUAUUUUAUCUCUCUUCAGGGUCUUCCUGGUAAUUCUGGACUGAAAGGUGAAGGUGGAGACCCUGGUCCUCAGGUGAGUAAGAAGUUAGGAUCUGAAUAAUAAUGCAUGAAAAUAACCCUCACCAGUGAAUGAAGGCCACAUUCCAAGUUACAAGUUCUGUUCGUCACUAAGUGAUCCUCCUGUGUCUAUACAGGGCCCCCGUGGCAUCCAGGGGCCUCCAGGACAACCUGGCAAAGCUGGCAAGAGGGGCCGUGCUGGAGCUGAUGGGGCCCGUGGCAUGCCUGGAGAACCAGGCAGCAAGGUACCGUAUGGCAUUACACAACCUUUCCUGGUCAUGUGACAUAUUACGAAUGAGAAGUGUAUUGUAUUCAUAAAGUAUUGCUACAAGCAUUCUAUAGCCCCUGGUGACUUUGAAUAUUGAUGACUGAUGUGUGUCUAUACAGGGUGACAGAGGCUUUGAUGGACUCCCUGGACUGCCUGGUGAAAAGGGACACAGAGGGGAGCCAGGGCCAAUGGGACCCGCAGGAGCCCCCGGAGAGGAUGGACAGAGAGGCGAGGAUGGAGAGAUUGGGCCCAGAGGAUUAG
rnacentral:lncRNA from 1 species